rnacentral:rRNA from 1 species
GACAAACGCUGGCGGCAGGCUUAACACAUGCAAGUCGAACGCAUCCUUCGGGGUGAGUGGCAGACGGGUGAGUAACGCGUGGGAACGUGCCCUUCAGUUCGGGAUAACCCAGGGAAACUUGGGCUAAUACCGGAUACGUGCGAGAGCAGAAAGAUUUAUCGCUGAAGGAUCGGCCCGCGUCUGAUUAGCUAGUUGGUGGGGUAAUGGCCCACCAAGGCGACGAUCAGUAGCUGGUCUGAGAGAAUGAUCAGCCACAUUGGGACUGAGACACGGCCCAAACUCCUACGGGAGGCAGCAGUGGGGAAUAUUGGACAAUGGGCGCAAGCCUGAUCCAGCCAUGCCGCGUGAGUGAUGAAGGCCUUAGGGUUGUAAAGCUCUUUCGUCCGGGACGAUAAUGACGGUACCGGAAGAAGAAGCCCCGGCUAACUUCGUGCCAGCCGCCGCGGUAA